CCGCUGAGCAAUAACAAGAAACUCUAGAAGACAAAGUUUCCACUAAAAGUUAAAUUAUUCAUGUGGUAUGUUCGUAGAGGUGUUGUGCUAACCAAAGACAACCUCGGACGACGCAACUGACCAGGAAGUAAGAAGUGUGGUUUUCGUACUCAUGACGAGACAAUCAAACACCUCUUUUUUCAAUGCAAGUUUGCGCGUUCUACAUGA
rnacentral:rRNA from 1 species